UAAUUUUUUGUGAUGCAUUUACUUGUUUGGUGCUUGGGGAUGUUUGAGGCAGAUUUGUGUCCGCCGUUUUGAGGCCAGCUUGCUGGUACCCAAACGGUGUUAGCAUUUUUUGUCUUGAACAUUUGAGUAUGGCUUACGGGCAUUUAUUGGUUCGAUCUGAGUGUAAGUUACGGUCGCAUGCGACACGUGCUUUCCAAUUAGUUCGGUCCAGUUAAUGCUCUCGUACUCGUUCCCCAUGUAAAAGCCGGUCAUCUAUCCGACCCGUCUUGAAACACGGACCAAGGAGUUUAUCGUGUGCGCAAGUUUUUGGGUGUUAAAAACCUAAAGGCGAAAUGAAAGUAAAUGGCUCUUUAGAGUCUGAUGUGCGAUCUAGUAAAAAAGUGCAGCAUGGCCCCAUUCUAACUGUUUACAGUAGGGUGGAGGAAGAGCGUACGCGGUGAGACCCGAAA
rnacentral:rRNA from 1 species